rnacentral:ncRNA from 1 species
GUGGUUCCGGUUCACGCCGCGCCCGCCUCGUUACCACGAGGCAGGCGGGCGACCCGGCGGCC